rnacentral:rRNA from 1 species
AUGGCCAGACUCCCUGUCGCCGCGUGCAUCGUCGCCCUUCACCUUUGCCUUCUCCUCUUGCCGUCUUCCUCACUCCGUCGGCUUUCCGAAGCAGAGAGCUCGCUAGUCCAGCAUGGCGGGGGCAGCAGGCCAGCCUACCACUUCCUGCCCGCCAAGAACUGGCAGAAUGACCCGAAUGGGCCGAUGUACCACAACGGCGUGUACCACCUCUUCUAUCAGUACAACCCGCUGGGCGCGACGUGGGGCUCCGGCAACCUCUCAUGGGGUCACUCCGUCUCCCGAGACCUUGUCAACUGGGCUGCCCUCAACACCGCGCUGGACCCCACCGCCCCCUUUGACAAUAAUGGUUGCUGGUCAGGCUCCGCCACAAUCCUCCCUGGCGGCAUCCCGGCCUUGAUGUACACCGGCCGCAUCGACGCCGGCAAGGAGGCGCAGGUGCAGAACGUCGCCUUCCCCAAGAACCUUGCCGACCCGCUUCUCCGCGAGUGGGUCAAGCCCGCAUACAACCCUGUGAUAUCACUCCCAGCCGACGUCCCCGGAGACAGGUUCCGUGACCCAACCACGGCAUGGGUGGGCCACGACAGCUUGUGGCGUAUCGCCGUUGCGGCCAAGGUCGGCGGCCCUAGUGGCAUUGCCUCCACGCUCAUCUACCGGAGUAAGGACUUUCGACACUGGAAGCGGAACACCUUGCCAUUGUACACAUCGCGUGCUGCCGGCAUGGUCGAGUGCCCGGACCUAUUCCCGGUGGCGGAGCCUGGCGUGGAGGAGGGGCGCCUCGGCUACACGCCUGGAAUGGCGAGUGGUGUUGUGAGGCAUGUGCUGAAGCUGAGCGUGAUGAACACGACCGAGGACUACUACAUGGUUGGGAGUUACGAUGAUGCGGCCGACACCUUCGUGCCCGAGCUGGACAACGAGCGCAGCCUCGACGACUGCCGCACCUGGCGCCGCUUUGACUACGGCCAUGUGUAUGCGUCAAAGUCAUUCUUUGACGUGCGCAAGAACAGACGUGUGCUAUGGGCAUGGGCCACUGAGUCGGACAACAUGGACGACGACAUCGCCAAGGGCUGGUCCGGCGUUCAGACGGUUCCGAGGAAGGUGUGGUUGGACGGAGACGGUAAACAGCUACGGCAGUGGCCCAUCGAGGAGAUCGAGACGUUGAGGAGUAAACAAGUCGUCGGCUUGCUUGGAGCGCAGGUGAAUGCCGGUGGCGUGAACAAGAUCUUUGGCGCGGGUGCGCAGGUUGAUGUAGAGGCCAUCUUUGAGAUCCCAUACCUAGAAGACGCUGAGACUUUGGAGCCCAACUGGCAGUUGGACCCGCAGAAGCUAUGCGAGGAGAAGAGUGCGUCCGUGUCGGGUGGGGUCGGCCCGUUCGGGCUACUCGUCAUGGCAUCCGGCGACCUGCAGGAGCACACCGCUGUCUUCUUUAGAGUGUUUAGACACAACCAGAACUAUAAAGUUCUCAUGUGCACCGACCUCACACGAUCGAAUGGGAGGGACAAGAUCUACAAGCCGCCGUAUGGAGGGUUUGUGGACAUAGACAUCGAGCAACACCGGAAGAGCAUAUCUCUUAGAACUUUGAUUGACCAUUCGGUGGUGGAGAGCUUUGGAGGAGGGGGGCGGACGUGCAUCACGGCCCGGGUGUACCCUGAGCAUGCGGAGAACAACAAUAGCCAUGUGUUCGUGUUCAAUAAUGGGACCGGCGUCGUGAAGGUGUCUAGGCUCGAGGCAUGGAGGAUGGCAAGGGCUACCGUAAAUGUUGUACAUGGCAGGUGA